UACGUAGGGAGCAAGCGUUGUCCGGAAUCAUUGGGCGUAAAGCGCACGUAGGCGGACCUGCAAGUCGGGGGUGAAAGCCCGAGGCUCAACCUCGGAACUGCCUUCGAUACUGCGGGUCUCGAGUCCGGGAGAGGUGAGUGGAACUGCGAGUGUAGAGGUGAAAUUCGUAGAUAUUCGCAAGAACACCAGUGGCGAAGGCGGCUCACGUGGCCCGGUACUGACGCUGAGGUGCGAAAGCGUGGGGAGCGAACAGG
rnacentral:rRNA from 1 species